UACCAACGGAGAGCCACCUGUUUUCUCGUCCUCGCCAUCGUCCUCCUUCUCCCGCUCCUGCUAGCUUCCUAUCCAUGUGUGGCCGCCGCACAUGGCCCACCGCAUCAUGCUCCAGGUGGUGACGCUGGUGUGUGGGGUCAAACUGGCGGGCUGCAUCGUCAAGGAGGAAAAGGUGUCAGGGAUGGGAGCCGCGAGGCGCUUGGGACAGAGGAUACCGCUAAAGGAUCCUCCCUCACCAAUCCCUAAUGAAAACUCGGGGGUGGUGAUUCCCCUGCUGCCGCUGCCGAUCAAUUAAUAAGUGUUGGGAGUCUGGGCACGAGCAUAUGCCAUGGUGACUUCCGUGCACCUCUAGUCUCUUACUAAUGUGUUAGAAGAAUAAUCUUGCUGUUGUGAAAUAAGUUGUCAUGCUUCAAAGUCUUAAAAUGUAUUGUUCACUUCUCUAUAUCAAUUUGGACUUCUGAGGUAAAUGACGGAAAAAAUAAAUUUAAUAUAGUCAGAGGCAAGUUGUCUCA